UAAACCCUGUUCAGUUUUAAUCAUUCAUCUUUUUCAUAACUCGGUAUGAUUGUGUGAAUUGCAAAAUGUGCAAGAAAACUAAGUUUGGGGUGGAAAUCGUGAAAGAGAAGCAAGUGCAUAAUAAGAGAUCAUACAAAAAGAAAAAUAGUAUGUAUUUUCUUUAAAAAGAAAAAAAAAAGAGAAAAAAAAGAGAAAAGAAAAACAAAAGAGAAAAAUGCACUUGCCGAGACUUAAGACUCUAACACAUAUGAAAUGCUCAGAAAAUUCGAGUAGGAAAAGAGUCAAAAGAGUGAAAUUAACCCCCAGAGUAUACGUGAUGCACGAGAAAAAAGAGAAAGAAAAAUCACACAACAUGACUACCGAGUUCAAAACCAUUUGUUAUCCAAUUUUUU
rnacentral:lncRNA from 1 species